GAGUUUGAUCCUGGCUCAGGACGAACGCUGGAGGCGUGCUUAACACAUGCAAGUCGAACGAACCCGAGACUUCGGUCUCAAUGGGUGAGUGGCGAACGGGUGAGUAACACGUGAGAAACCUGCCUCGGAGUACGGGAUAACUCAAGGAAACUUGAGCUAAUACCGCAUACCUUCCAGACACCGCAUGGUGAUUGGAAGAAAGAUUUAUCGCUCUGAGAGGGUCUCGCGGUCUAUCAGCUUGUUGGUGAGGUAAUGGCUCACCAAGGCUUCGACGGAUAGCUAGUCUGAGAGGACGAAUAGCCACACUGGAACUGAGACACGGUCCAGACUCCUACGGGAGGCAGCAGUGGGGAAUCUUGCACAAUGGGCGAAAGCCUGAUGCAGCGACGCCUCGUGGGGGAUGAAGGCCCUAGGGUCGUAAACCCCUUUCAGGAGGGACGAAAAUGACGGUACCUCCAGAAGAAGCCCCGGCCAACUACGUGCCAGCAGCCGCGGUAAUAAGGGCGA
rnacentral:rRNA from 1 species